rnacentral:rRNA from 1 species
UACGGAGGGUGCGAGCGUUGUCAGGAAUCACUGGGCGUAAAGGGCGCGUAGGUGGCCGAGCAAGGUCGCGGUGAAAGCUUGGGGCUCAACCCCAAGUCGGCCGUGGCAACUACUUGGCUUGAGCACUGUAGGGGCGGGUGGAAUUCCGGGUGUAGCGGUGGAAUGCGUAGAGAUCCGGAAGAACACCGGUGGCGAAGGCGGCCCGCUGGGCAGGAAGGCUCGCAAGAGCCGGCUGACACUGAGGCGCGACAGCGUGGGGAGCAAACAGG